rnacentral:rRNA from 1 species
UGGGGAAUAUUGGACAAUGGGCGAAAGCCUGAUCCAGCCAUGCCGCGUGUGUGAAGAAGGCCUUUUGGUUGUAAAGCACUUUAAGCGAGGAGGAGGCUACUUGGAUUAAUACUCUAGGAUAGUGGACGUUACUCGCAGAAUAAGCACCGGCUAACUCUGUGCCAGCAGCCGCGGUAAUACAGAGGGUGCGAGCGUUAAUCGGAUUUACUGGGCGUAAAGCGUGCGUAGGCGGCUUCUCAAGUCGGAUGUGAAAUCCCUGAGCUUAACUUAGGAAUUGCAUUCGAUACUGGGAAGCUAGAGUAUGGGAGAGGAUGGUAGAAUUCCAGGUGUAGCGGUGAAAUGCGUAGAGAUCUGGAGGAAUACCGAUGGCGAAGGCAGCCAUCUGGCCUAAUACUGACGCUGAGGUACGAAAGCAUGGGGAGCAAACAGG